AUGUUAUACUCUGUCAUGCUGAAUCUAUACAUUGAAAACAUGCAGAUUUGGUUUAAGGAGAUCAUGCAAAAUACACUCAAACUUUUUGUUUUAGAUGGAUUUGUCCUAGAAACACGUUUGCCUUUGCCAAGGCAUAGUGGCUUAGGAAGGACUGAUGUAAUGAAGGAACAGAAGAACAGACAAAAUGGAAGGUUGCAUGUGUUUGGUCCAAAAGAAGAAGUAGUCCUUGAACCCGUUCAAACAAUUCCACGCAUGGGAUGUGGAAAUGAAUCUAUAAGCAGACCUUACACUCCAUCAAAGCAGAUCUUGUUACGUGCAGCUAAAUCUGUAGAAAAGGGGAAUACUUUAAAAAGAAUUGCAAGAUAUAAAAAUCCAAAGAUGAGUGUAAGAUUGCCUGACCGCAUAGAAGAAGAGACAGAAAUUCAUAAUGAUCAACAAUUAGAAACUGAUUUACAGAGGCUGAAUCAUGAAACUAAGAUAACUGAGGUGAAGACAGAAUUGGAAGUCAAUGAUGAAAAAAUGAAAAAUUCCGCAGUUGUUGAAAAGCUACCCAACGGUGAGGUCAGUACUGAGAAGCAAAGGGAAGGUGUAGCUAAAGAAAAUGCCGACAAGAAGCCGCCAGAGAGUUCAGAGGACGAAAAUAAUGAACAAAGUGACUGUGAAGCUGAAAAGAGAGUUGCACCGCUGCAGUUAAUGGGAGAGGGAAAAAGAAACUACAGUCAUACCUUGGAAGUCGAAUGCCUUGCAAAUCGAACAUUUUGGCUCCCACACACCGCAAACCCGGAAGUGCGUCUUCCGGUUUGCGAAUGUUCUUUGGAACCCGAACGUCUGACAUGGGUUCCGCAGCUUCCGAUUGGCUGCAGGAGCUUCCUUGGUUUCCGAAUGUUUUGGAAGUCGAACAGACUUCUGGAGCGGAUUCUGUUCGACUUCUGAGGUAUGACUGUACUUACCACUCUAGAUAAGAAGCCUCUAGAAGAAAACAGCCUAGAACAUAAGAGACUCUUCCUUCCCAGUGCUACAUUGAUGCUUGUAGAUCAGGGGUCAGCAACCUUUUUCAGCCGUGGGCCAGUCCACCGUCCCUCAGACCAUGUGGUGGGCUGGACUAUAUUUUUUUUUUGGGGGGGGGAUGAAGAAAUUCCUAUGCCCCACAAAUAACCCAGAGAUGCAUUUUAAAUAAAAGGACACAUUCUACUCAUGUAAAAACACCAGGCAGGCCCCACAAAUAACCCAGCGAUGCAUUUUAAAUAAAAGGACACAUUCUACUCAUGUAAAAACACGCUGAUUUCUGGACCGUCCAUGGGCCGGAUUUAGAAGGCGAUUGGGCCACAUCCAGCCCCCGGGCCUUAGGUUGCCAACCCGAUAUAGAUCGUCUGCAUUAUGCACAGUCUUUGUGAUUAUUUAGGUCACUGCAGAUGAGUUUGGUAAUGACAUACGAUGUGUGGAGGAAUGGAUCUACGUGACAAAGUGUCAUGCAUCAUGUGUCCUAAGUGUGAAAAAGUUGUCAUGCUGAAGCUGUUCAAACUGGACUUUACAGCGCAGGAUCAACACCCUUGAGUUGACUUGAGUGCAGGUUGAGUCAUAUUGGCUCGUAUUUGUAUUAAUCUGCAUA
ensembl:lncRNA